GUCUCAGUUUUAUUAGAUUUCUGAUACAAAGACUUUUUAUGCUUGGUGUUGUUAAAAAGUAUGAAACUACUUAACUUUUCCAAAUGUUAUACAGAGAAAUAUUUUUAACAUUUAUGUGGCAUAAAAAAGGUAGAAUUGGUGAAAGGUUCAAGUUUAUUUAACAAUAAUUCUUUUGUUUUUUCUGAAAUCUAUUGGAACAAAUGAAAAGGAUUGCAGUCUGCUUUUUUUAAUUUUACAUAAUGUGUUUUGAUUUAUGAUAGUGCCAAGACAAUAUCAAUGUUUUCUCUAGAGGUUAUGAUAGUGUUUUCAUGCUGAUAGAAUAGCAACAAUGUGCAUUAUAGUCUACAAGGCCACAGACACAGUUACUUCUUAACAAGGUUUGCUGGAAUCAAAAAUAUGUUUAUUAUUAUGGGCUUCUUCAUUCGCGAAAUGACUUUGGAUCAUCUCAUGGAAAAGAUAAGAAUGCCUGAGUAUUAUCUAUGGUUGGAAUUAAGUCAACCACACAGCAGUUCCCCCCUCUCCACCCCCUGAUCUAUCCAAAGGAACUGCGAUUGCCGAUAACAGUUUCAGAUCAGCAGCAUUGCAGGCUCUGUCAGGGUCAUUUGUGUGCUACAAGCUGACUGUGUGGGUAGCCAGCCAAGGCUAAUGAGCCCCCCGUGCUUGAAGCACUGGUUUAGGCGCCAGUUACUCUUUACCUUUACAGUUCUGCCAGGCCCAAUGUCUGAGCCACACAUGAAGGCUAGGAGUUGGACUGCUUGUCAGAGGCUUUUUGAGACAUAUGCCAUUGAAAUAUUUUAUAAGUAAAGAAGUGCUUAUUUCCAUUAACACUUCCGGCAACAACAACCUUAAAUAUAAAUUAUAUUACUUCACUAUUCUCAAAGAAAAAGAAACAUUAUUUUUUUAUUGUAUUUGUCAUGAAUCGAUACUGUUACCUAAUUCUACCUCUUUCCAGAUAAAAAAAAAAGUCUCGUACAUCAGUUUCUAGAAGGUAGUGAUGGGAACUAAACUAAUUUUUUUUAGUUAAACUAAAACUAAGUUUGAACUAAAAAAAAGUAAUUAAACUUUUAGUUAAUCACAAAUUGAAAAAAUUAGUUAAACUAAACUAAGAAACUUUAGUUAAACUUUUACUAACUAUUUUGACCUUUUUUAAGGAUGAAACAGCCAAACAUGAAAAAUAUAAAGCACAACCAAUCUCUGUUGCAAAAUGUAAUAAACAUUUAUUUGUGCACAUGAAAAAAUAUUUAGAUCUAAAUGUCUUUUGGGAUAGAUGUAGAUCUUAAUAGAAUCACUAGAAUAAUAGUAUAUUGAUACUAUUUUAGAAAGAAAUUAGAAGUAAUUGUCCAAGUUCUAAUAUAAGUUACCUUUAGAAGUAAUGAUAAAACUGCAUGUUGACUCUCUAACUAACUCUAGAUUCUAGAAUAUUCUGGAUCUAAUAUCUUUUACAAACGAAAUGAUCAGAAAUAUAAUCUGGAUCUAGAAUUAGUUAUAAUAGAUACUUCGAUUUUCCGGUCGCGCGAGAUUUUUUUUGGUUACCGGAACCGGUAGUAUUCGUGCGGCAGUAUUUAAGCCGAUAACAAUAUAGAUUUCGUUCCAGUCUGGUUUUGUCUUCAAAAUCAGACACAAAAGGAUAGUCAGAGCCCUUUGUUUGUUCAAGGAUCGGAUAUCAGUUAAUUCUUUGGAUUUAUAUCAGUGCUUUUCUAUCGUCUUCAUUGGAGUUCCAGCGUGUUGAGCAUAGGGGUAAGUUGACCAUCCAUAAUUUUUUUAUUAUUCUGAAAAGCAUAUUUUUUAAAGUCAAUCCGUGUACCUUAAUAUCUAAUCUAACUAUUUUUGUUCAUAUUAUCGCAAUAAGUAUUCCACUUUAUUAGUAAAAACGGACCCAGUGCAUCAGGUAUCUUGGCUAGAAAACGAAACCAGCCGCCAUUACUAACCGGAAAUGAUAGAUUCAAUGGUUAUCAAUGGCUGCAUAGCUUUUUUGUUAGAUCGAUUUUUUUUAAUCCAUCAUCAAGAACAGUUUUAUUUAGUCAUCCGUGAUUUUGAAUGCAAUUUUUAAAAUUUUUAGAAUGAUUUUAAACUAGUUCAAUUAUUAUUUUUCGUUUUUAGUUAAAUUUCUUGCAAUGGCUGGUAAUAUAAUUGGGAUAAUUAUAAAAUAAUUUAUAAAUACAAAAUUUUAAGUGAUAGUUACCAUAAUAAUCACUACUAAAUAUAAGUUAUAAACAAAAUAUAACACAAAUCAAUUGAAAUAUCAUUUUAUUUCAAUGAAAAUACUUUUUCAGAUAUUAAUCUAUAGAUCUACUUAAAUCUACUAUAUUCUCUAUAUGAUUUAGGAUAAUUGUAGAAAUUUAUUUUAAAGUAAAGGCUUGGCUGGACUUAUGAAGUUGAGCCUUCUAUUUUACAUUAAAUGUCUUAUAUCCUUUUAUAAAUAAAAUCUUUAAACUGCAUUUUAUUAAAAUAGUACAUAUGUGUAAUUUUGUUUGAAAAAAUUUUUUUUUCACAAUUAAAUAAAACUAACUUUUUUUUUGUUACAUUUUCCCCAGAUAAUGUGGGCGUGGCAGGCCUUGAUGUCGAUGUUGUUGACAAUAAGUUUCGAAGGCAUAUGACUGAUGUGAAGAACUUUUGCAGGAAGAUUACCCGCAGCUGGCACCUAGUUGCACCCUACUUGGAUAAAAAAAUUUCUAUCGAUGCUGCUGGCAAAAAGACACCUAUCCAAGUCCCAAGACAGCACUGAACGACCUAGUAUGGUGAAGAAGUUGCGACCUGAAGGUGAUGUUGAGGCUACUGAAAGGCCAGGUAACACAGAACAACACUGUGCUUGUUGUUGCAGAAAAGCGGUUAGUCUUUUAAGGGCUUUUUGGCAAGAUGUUGACAGAACCGUGGAUGACACUGAUCUACAAAAUGAAAGAUGAAACAUUUUAAAGAUACCAUUUAUGCAGCUAUUAUAUUUAUUCUCUUGUUUUCUAGAUCUCUCAUGUGAAGGUCUGCAUUGACAAACUAAAGCCACUAAAGGCCAUUGUGGAUUCUCUACUAAGUGAUUGCUUUGGCCAGACUCUGGAUACUGAAAAUCUCGUUCUGAAAACCCUGAGAAAUGUGACUGUUGAUGAAGUAUUUAUCGAGAUCACUAAAAUACUUGCUGAAGGUUUUUGUAAGGUGCUACAGAGACAGUACUUCAAUUGAUAAUUUCAUACAACAAACAAAUCCAUUAUGUGCUUACCCAUCAAAUACAAAACAGAUAGGGUACACCCAAACAAUGUUCAUCUUCAAACAAUCAUGCAUGAUCCUCGCAAGCUUUGGAUACUGACGUACAUUUGCAAACGCACUCAGACUGAUGACAUCAAGAAAUCUAUAUUUGUUAUUUACAUUAUAUGUAAAUUUAAAUACUCUUUUUUUUUUCAAAUUUUUUUUAAUUUUGUAAAUCUUGUAUAAUUAUCUCUAAAGUCUAGAUUAAAAUGUUACAGCUCUCAAA